rnacentral:lncRNA from 1 species
AAUUGCAGUUUCGAAAUUUUGACGCUGGAUCCACCAAACUAUACAGCUACAUCAGAUGCCUUCACUCUCCACUGGAGAUGGUGAGCACUGAAUAAGCAAUUCGAAUCAAUUUAUUUUUUUACAGAAGAUAGGUUUUACUUUUACACAGAAAAUAUGUAGCUCCUACAUCAAGCUCCAAAGCCUGUGAAAGGAAAGCAGUAGUAUUUUGUCGUUGAAGUCCCACUUUGCAGCGCCAAAGAAAGGAAGAAACAAUGGAGUCAAGGGACCGGCACUCGGACUGCAGGGGGGCCUGAUUUCAUGUCCUCUAGUAUAAGAGCCAAGAGAGCCCGAGUUAUGGGUCCUUCUUUGCCUACAAAUGAAUGCACGCCAAAAUAUAAAUUUUAGGAAAAUUAUAAGUUUCCAACCGCAUUGCUUUUCAAAUAUGAUAAGGUUCCAACCGAAAUAUAAAUUUUAGGAAAAUGGCUUACAUAAGGGACAGAAUGAAAUGCAGCGCACUUGGAGUGAAAAGUAAGUGGCAAGGCAGUGCAAAGAGGGAGAAAACAUAGUACAAUCAUUUACCAAAGUUUUCCAGUCAUGUGCUUCUGUGAAUUUAGCAUUUGUGAGCUUCGAAAGGGGCCUCCAAUGGAAGAUUUAUGGUACAGUGGAUGUACCAAAGUUUCGGCCAUACAAAAAGAAAACUCAGCAACAAGAAAACAGUCAUGCACGUACUUUCAUCAUGGCUAAAGAGCCACCCACAAUGGAUGGCAUCCUAUUGAUUUAAUGGAAAGUACCCUUGCUUUGUACUCUGAAUUGAAGAGAAGCAAGAAAAAAUUUCGAUCAAUUUUAUAAGGUUCUGAAAGCCAUGUUGGCUCAAUAUCAACCUAGCAUCAUGCUUGCAUGUAAAAUCCAGCUUGAAGGAUGCAUAGUUUAUUGCAGAGAAGUUUCUUACCAUCACCAAUGACCUGAUUGUCCCACUGCACCACAGGGCGAACAAGUACUCCACUGCCAAUAAGCAUCAUCUCAUCUGCUUUCUUUCCUUCCUCUUCAGUCACAUCAUCAAUCUUUAUUCCAUGGAGUUUACCCUCCUUUACCAGUCCCUCUGCUAGUGUCAAAACUCUCUUUGCCGUGCACCCACUCAAAAUUUUGUCAAAGGCGGGCAUCAGAAGGUCUUUUUCCUUGGUAACAAAUGCUACAUUCAUGCUGGGCCCUUCAGCAACGAAUCCAUCAUUAUCCAGCCAAAUAGAUGCAUAUGCAUCAUUCUCUUCUGCUUCCAUCUUUGAAAGUGCAUUGGGAAGGUAAUUUACACUUUUCACGGUGGCAAAUUGCGGGGGUUUUAUUGGGACUGAAGAAGUUACUACCUUGAUGCCUCUUGAAUCAUGUGGAGACUGAUCUUGGAUUACAAUGGCAUAAAGAGCUGGCUGAUGGCAGUCAGAUGGAGAUAGUUGGAAAUCACCAGGUCCUGCCGAGAGCCAGUAUCUUAGUGAUCCUGUCUUGCACUUUGAAGCACUCACUGUUUGUAUGAGUAUUCUCCUUAUAUUUUCCCUAUCAAAAGGGAGAUUGAUUUUGGCCAAGGAUGCUGACCUUAAUAUACGAUCAAGGUGUUGGUCGAAUUCAUAUAAGUGCCUGAGAUGUGGUAACAGAUGAGGAUCUUGAUUAGCAAUUAAUACUUGAUUGAAAGCUAAGUGAGGAAUACUUGUUCAAAUGGAAAUAUCAAUGAUUCAUCAACAUAUUACCGCAUGUUUUCCUUUUUUCAGUUGCCAAAGCAGUUUAAUUUUCUUGUCCUUAAAAUUUAGAUGAUGAUUGUUCCAUCAUAUGCAUUGCAGAAAAUGUUCGAAGAAUCGUAUGAAACAGGGAGGUAAAAUAAUAUACUUGAAAUACAAUGAGGUUAAAAAUGCAAAACUUGGAAAUUGUACGGUUGCACAAAAUCAGCAUUUUAAAGGAAUAUUAAAGAACUUGGAAAUUGUACUGUUUCCUGCAAAACUUCAAGAGCUUGCAACCAUUUAAAAUGUGAACCAAGCUUGACAGAUACAAUAGAAUCAAGAGUUGAAUUAGUGGAGCCAAGAACUGUUUAUACUGUAACUGUAAGACAUUGUCACGUUGAAUCCUUAUAAACUUAAACAUAAUAUUAUGCCUGUGCUUUGCUAUUUGAGCUUUUGGAGCAUUGGUAGUAUAACCAAUAGACUUAGAAACAUGAAAUUCGUUUACAGGUCUUGGUAGUUCAAUGGAUGCAAACAGCAUAAUACUAUUCCUACUUAUGAAUAACAAAAAAAACUUCGAAUUGUCUAUAAUAGUAUUAGACUAUUCAAGAAGAAAAGGUAAUCCAUCUGAAAAGUAAAUUAUACCAACCCAUCUACUAUUGCAGCAGUAUCAAAGACACCAUGUCCCCUGUGGACCAUGUGGUCAUCCAAAGGUAUCACCAUGGCUGAUGUAUCUGUUGUUAUUCCUCCAAAAAUGCUAGAGUACAUGGCCAAGAAUUGCUGCUUUCCUUUCUGAUUUUCUCGGUUUUUCUUUAGCCUUUCAAAAGCCUUCAAAAACAUAUAUAUAAAUGGCAUUUAACCAAGCCUUCCCCUUCUCCCAUUGCACCAAAAUGGAAUCAGACCAAAAAAAGUUUCUAAGCAAUUAAGGAAUACAUCUUGACUUUUAAUCUUUAAUAUAAAACAGAAAUGUCCUCCACUAACACCAAAUUAAGCCCAGAUCAACAAAACUAUGCAACUUGUAUUCACUAUUAUAGCAUCGCUUUAAGGACUAAUCAAUUUUCACCAAUCUCUCUCCAUAACACAAUUUAAAAUCUACUCUUAUUUAGCAGUAAAGUACAGUGAACCGUUUAUUUUUUAAGAGAGAGAGAGAGAGGACGAACCUCUAAGCAGGUUAGGAUUGGAACAUCAGAGAUUUGAGUAUUAGAAUCUGUCACCGCAAAGGAAAGACAUUAGUAUUAAAUUUCUCACUAGUCUUUACAUUCUAUGAUUUGUAGAGUAGAAAUUGAAAUCUAAGGAAGCCAGUAAGGGAUCACAUGGCAUGGUGACUGGUUGAAUUUUCAAAGAACACAACUUACCAACCAAAGCUUCAGCUUGAUGAGAGCAUCUAGCAAUCUUCACUUUCCCAAACAACCCAUGUUGUGAAAUCAACCCAAGUCUUUGAAAUGAAAGAUUUCUCGGUACAAGACACGAAUUAUGAAAGUGAUCAGGCAGAUUUAUGCUAGUAUUUGGGUGUUGAAAACUGGGUUUUGGCAGAGAAGUUGAAAGAGAAGCCAUGGGACCCCAAACUAGUGAGAGAGUUUCUUCAAACUGCGGCUUGAUCGUAGGUUGAUGGUGGUGAUGAUUAGUGUUUUAAAGUGCAGUGUUGGUGACUUCAUGUGAAUGGAUUCCAAAGGAAAAGGCAGUGCUAGUGUAUAAAUUUCGCCGGCGGAGAUUUAUAUAGAAAGGGUAAACUACAGUUAUACCCUCUUACUAUUUUAUAAAUUUCGGUUUGGUCCUUCUCCCACUGAUUUACCAGCUCAACCUAUCAAAAUUGCAAGUAGUCUCUCCCCUCCCACGGUUCCUUCUCCCACUGAUUUACCGACUCAACCUAUCCAAAUUGCAAAUAAUCUUCCAAACCGUGGUUUCUACAUAAUUAUAAUAAAAAAUUAUAGUUAGAGAGUCAGAUUAUGGUGAAAAACAAAGAAGAAUGUAGACAAACAACUAUUUUUCAAGGACAAAACUCGUUGAUCUCAGUAAACUCUAUUUAAAUAUAAAAGUUUUAUUUAAAUUUUGUUUUUUUUAUUUUAUUUACUGAAAAUUAAAAAAGUAGAUUGGAUCUCAUAGAUGUUUAUGAAUCGGGUUGAUCAUUUAUUUUUUAGUUGAUGAGAUGGUGAUUUAAUAGUAAAAAUGGAUUUUUUAAGGUUUUAUGAUGUUUUUUUAUAUAUUUUCAGAUGGAAUAAAAGUGAAAAUUAGAUUUUUUUACCUUUUAGAGUCGGUUGUCUAAUUUUAUAGUCAUUAUUUAAAAUAGCAAGUGAGACGUUGCUUACUAUUUAAAAAAAUUAAAAACCAAUAAGGGCAAACCUUAAAAAAAUAAAAUAUAAUUAAAAAAAGUUACAAACAAUUGUGUUGACCUUUUUUUAAAGUCCAAGCAUGAUCGGGCAACUUCGUCAAUGAACCUAACUUUUUUAAAAAAAGAAUUAUCUUUCAAAACUAAGUCUUGAUUGAUUUUUCUUGUUGAGUUUUUUAUAAUUUUAUCCUUUAAUAAUUUGUUUUAUUUUGAUAAUUAUAAGUUUUUUACGGUGUAAAAAAAAAUACCCUUAUAUUUGAUUAAUAUUUAAUUUUACGAGUAUCAAUUUUUUUAUAUAAAUAAAUAAAAAAUAAUUUUAAAAUAAACAAAGUUACUGAACCUAGUGAAGUCCAUCCCUUGGAUUAUAUAUUUAGCAUGGUACCCUGUUUUCUAUAUUUUCUUGAAAAUGACUCGCCCCACUUGUAAUUUCUUUAAGAAAAUCCAUUUAAUUAUGUUUUUCAAGUGAUCUAGAUCCUCUGUUUAUCUUGCAGUAAGCAAGCAUAUCCACUGCAGGUCACUUUGCAGGAUGAAAGAAAACCUUAGCACUGCACCAUAAUGUACCCUUUACCUUCUUUGAUAACAAGGAAAGGGGGGAGAUAUGGAUGUAUUUCUUUGAAAUGUAAUUUGAAGUUGACUGUAAAUUGCAGUUUCGAAAUUUUGACGCUGGAUCCACCAAACUAUACAGCUACAUCAGAUGCCUUCACUCUCCACUGGAGAUGGUGAGCACUGAAUAAGCAAUUCGAAUCAAUUUAUUUUUUUACAGAAGAUAGGUUUUGCUUUUACACAGAAAAUAUGUAGCUCCUACAUCAAGCUCCAAAGCCUGUGAAAGGAAAGCAGUAGUAUUUUGUCGUUGAAGUCCCACUUUGCAGCACCAAAGAAAGGAAGAAAUAAUGGAGUCAAGGGACCGGAACUCGG